GACGAACGCUGGCGGCGUGCCUAAUACAUGCAAGUCGAGCGGACUUAAAAAGCUUGCUUUUUAAGUUAGCGGCGGACGGGUGAGUAACACGUGGGCAACCUGCCUGUAAGACUGGGAUAACUUCGGGAAACCGGAGCUAAUACCGGAUAAUCCUUUUCUACUCAUGUAGAAAAGCUGAAAGACGGUUUACGCUGUCACUUACAGAUGGGCCCGCGGCGCAUUAGCUAGUUGGUGAGGUAACGGCUCACCAAGGCGACGAUGCGUAGCCGACCUGAGAGGGUGAUCGGCCACACUGGGACUGAGACACGGCCCAGACUCCUACGGGAGGCAGCAGUAGGGAAUCUUCCGCAAUGGACGAAAGUCUGUCGGAGCAACGCCGCGUGAGUGAUGAAGGUUUUCGGAUCGUAAAACUCUGUUGUUAGGGAAGAACAAGUACGAGAGUAACUGCUCGUACCUUGACGGUACCUAACCAGAAAGCCACGGCUAACUACGUG
rnacentral:rRNA from 1 species